CUACGGGGGGCACCAGUGGGGAAUAUUGGACAAUGGGGGAAACCCUGAUCCAGCAAUGCCGCGUGGAGGAUGACGCAUUUCGGUGUGUAAACUCCUUUUAUAUGUCAAGAAAAUGACGGUAGCAUAUGAAUAAGCACCGGCUAACUCCGUGCCAGCAGCCGCGGUAAUACGGAGGGUGCAAGCGUUACUCGGAUUCACUGGGCGUAAAGGACGCGUAGGCGGGUUGGAAAGUCAGGUGUGAAAUCCUACAGCUUAACUGUAGAACUGCACUUGAAACUUCUAAUCUAGAGUAUGGGAGGGGGAGAUGGAAUUAGUGGUGUAGGGGUAAAAUCCGUAGAUAUCACUAGGAAUACCUAAAGCGAAGGCGAUCUCCUGGAACAUUACUGACGCUAAGGCGUGAAAGCGUGGGGAGCAAACAGGAUUAGAUACCCCGGUAGUC
rnacentral:rRNA from 1 species